rnacentral:rRNA from 1 species
ACGCUCGACACCUACGGGAGGCAGCAGGUGGGGAAUAUUGCACAAUGGGGGAAACCCUGAUGCAGCGACGCCGCGUGAGCGAAGAAGUAUCUCGGUAUGUAAAGCUCUAUCAGCAGGGAAGAAGAUGACGGUACCUGACUAAGAAGCACCGGCUAAAUACGUACCAGCAGCCGCGGUAAUCUGAGCGGGCUGGCAAGGC